rnacentral:sRNA from 2 species
AAUCCUGCUCCGCGGAUUCCGGGUGUCCCGACGAACGAUCCACGGGAGCAGGAAGCGGGGGACCCAACGGUCUCCCAGGGAACACCGAUUCCCAGGAGGCACCCGGAUCGCCGCCCACGGCGACGGUCCUUGGGGUGAAGCCGAAUCGCCCACCGGCGAGGAGGCCGGGCUACCUCUUCAGCCCGAACCCGACAGCUGACCUCGUAGGCGCGUACGGAGAGGAACC